rnacentral:rRNA from 1 species
GGCGGACGGGUGAGUAACGCGUAAAGAACUUGCCCUUUAGACUGGGAUAACAGAGGGAAACUUCUGAUAAUACUGGAUAAGUUAGUAUAUCGCAUGAUAUGCAAAUGAAAGCUACGGCACUAAAGGAGAGCUUUGCGUCCUAUUAGCUAGUUGGUAAGGUAAGAGCUUACCAAGGCGAUGAUAGGUAGCCGGCCUGAGAGGGUGGACGGCCACAAGGGGACUGAGAUACGGCCCUUACUCCUACGGGAGGCAGCAGA